rnacentral:rRNA from 1 species
AUUGAACGCUGGCGGCAUGCCUUACACAUGCAAGUCGAACGGCAGCGCGGGGGCAACCCUGGCGGCGAGUGGCGAACGGGUGAGUAAAAUAUCGGAACGUGCCCUAAAGUGGGGGAUAACGUAGCGAGAGUUACGCUAAUACCGCAUAAGAUCUAAGGAUGAAAGCGGGGGAUCGCAAGACCUCGUGCUUUAGGAGUGGCCGAUAACUGAUUAGCUAGUUGGUGGGGUAAAGGCUCACCAAGGCGACGAUCAGUAGCUGGUCUGAGAGGACGACCAGCCACACUGGGACUGAGACACGGCCCAGACUCCUACGGGAGGCAGCAGUGGGGAAUUUUGGACAAUGGGGGCAACCCUGAUCCAGCAAUGCCGCGUGUGUGAAGAAGGCCUUCGGGUUGUAAAGCACUUUUGUUCGGGACGAAACGGUUUGGGCUAAUACCCUGAGCUAAUGACGGUACCGAAAGAAUAAGCACCGGCUAACUACGUGCCAGCAGCCGCCGUAA